rnacentral:misc_RNA from 1 species
UUUAUUUACAUCCGCCGACCAACAGUUAUCAUUGCCCUGGGCCCGUGGCUGUCAAACCAAACUGUUCACCAUUUACAAUAAGCUUGCUUAAGCCUUGGUCGUCAACAAUCUGGCGGUCACCUCCUUAAUUGGUCCCUUGUAAAGAAGGGAUGCCUUAGUGCUUCCCGAGCAGUUAGCCUAUCUGAGGGAUCAUAUCUAAGCAAUCCUUGCAA